UCUUCCUGCACAGUCUUUGCAGCCAAGCACCAAGUUAUAGGCACCUUUCUGCACACGUGGGCUAGGCACAGCAAACACAGCACUUGACCAGAGAAUAAUUUACAGUUAUAACAAGCCAGUGACUCCUAUCUAUCCCCUAACAAGAUUUUUGGCCCUUAGCGAUGGAAGCUGUAGUUCGUAAAAGUGCAGAUACAUUUUGUAAUGCUUAUUUUCCUUUAUCCAGAUAAUCUGGGUCUUGGGUCAAAUCCAUCAUUAACUAACCAAACCUCCCUCAACCCUGUAUUUUAUGAAGUUUCAGUAUGGAAAGGCUUUAAUGAGUUCCUGUUCAUGAUGAAACUUCCUACGUUGGAUGCAGCCCUGAACCUCACGCCAGUGCUGGCCUAGCAUGGGAUGGUGCUGUUUGACCUGGCCACCUGGAGCUGCACUGUUUGGCUACCAGCUUGUCACAGCGCCUUCCAGGACAGAUUCUCCAGGGAGUACAGGAAGAUACAUUACCUAAGUGGUUCAUUAAAGCUAUGAAAUACCGAAAUGCUCCUUCACCCUCACUCAGUAUUUUCUGAGGCAGACAGCCAGGUGGUCACUGUGGUCCUUGCAGAAGCCUUCUGUUGGGAAGAAGUUCAUCCAGCCUGGCAAGGGGAGCAGGAGGGAGCGAGAAACCCGAGCCAGGUGGGUGCUGUGCACUGCAUGUACGCAGAGCUAGGGUGGCUCCCAGGUCAAGUCCUCGCUGAGGAACCAGAGGGUUUGGGAUAUGCUUGAUGCUUUCAGGUUGUGGCCCUUACUCCUUGGCAGCUGUAGGAGGGGCUGAGAGUUGGACAGGUGUGACAGAAGACAGCGCAGCAGCUGUAAUGCGCUCCUAUGAGGGCAGAGUUUGAGGGGCGCCCCAGGCUCUCAGAAGCCCUGCUCCGACUUCAGGCCUUUCCUCUAAACUACAUUAAGGAGUAUGUUUCUGAAGAUUGCGGGGACUUGGAUGCUUUCGACAAGCCAUAACCUUAAGGAAGAACAUCUAAAUUACAAGUUCCAGUCCCAUUUCAGCAGCAUGCAGCCCUCUGCACUUCCUGUCCUAACAGUUGGCAUCCCGGAGUGCGGACCGCUAGAUCCUCAGAGAUCCUUGGGGAUUCUCAGAGAUCCUGCUAUAGUCUUAGCCAAGAGCUGGCAUAACGAACCCCACACGUUGUUAUUUCCUUAUUUUCAGAUAAAAUGGGGCUUAUCAGUUUGUAGCUUUGGAUGGACUGCGAGUGUCAGGAAAUGGGGAGGUGGGGGCCGAGGCCUGACCCCCACCCUUGCAGCCCAGGACAGCCUUCUUUCUCCUCCUUGGGACAUCUUUAGCAAUCUCUGUUUGUUGUCAUGGCCAGGAUCUUACCUAAGAGACAUCUACAUUUCUGGAGCCUGGCCCUAGGGGAAAUGAAGUUCCAAGCCGUUGCACUGCCAGCCUGUGAAGCCGGAGCAGCACAUCCCUCCUGGUGUGCCCUCCCCAGGACCCAAAGCCUAAGGUACUCAGGGGAGCAGAAAGGGGCUUCUCUGCAGAGUUGCGUGACUCAGUUUGCAGGCUGGAGACUUUUCGUGACGAGCAUUAGUCAGAGUGUUCCUGGCAUGUGGCAGGAGCCUGAACCCCGCAGGUCUCCGGCGAGUCCAGCGCCUCGCGCCAUCCCUUCUCGAGGUGGCUGCUGCUCGGCGGCGUGCAAAACGAUCCCACUGCGGAGGUUGCAGAGCAACGCUCAGCUGCAGGGCAGGAGCUGGGGUCUGCUGGGCUGAAAAGUCCUCCACAAACCUCCCUCACGAGUCUCAGUUAGAGAAACUAUUCAUAGCUCCUUUCGGGAUCUACAGAGUUGCAUUAGCAGGGGGACAACAGAAAGCACAAAUUUAUCAAAAUUAAAUGGAAGUCGAGAGAACAUACUGUCUAAGGCAGCGAGGCGGUUCAGACAGCUCUGCAGCAGCCUAAACACAUGACAGACUCAAGCAGCUCCCACCGCUGCCAACACAACUGCUCGCGGGGUCUGCCAAGAAGCCAGAUGCUGCUGCUGGAAAAAAUAUCUUCCAGAGUUUGGCAUCAAGAUCCUGUGAUUACCAUCCAAAUGGGAGGAGAUGGAGUGGUAGAAUGUGAGUUUAGUAUUUAGCACCCCAGAACUGUGCAGCAGCCUUUGAAGGCAGAGGAAAAAAGUUCAAGCAAAAUAUUUUUGCUAAAAAUAUGUUCGGAGAAAUGAACUUUUUUUUUUUAAAUAGCAGAAAACCAAACUAUUAUUAAAACAACGCAAAAUAGUUUAUGCCCAUAUCAAUUAAAUGAGUAAAACCAAAGAGGAUUGUGGAUUCUUUACUUGAGUAAAUUUUGUUAAGGAAUAGUUUUAUAAAGGUCAAAGCAUGAGCUCUUUGUCUCUCAUGUUGUUGCUAAUGGAAAGUUC
rnacentral:lncRNA from 1 species